CUUGGGCUGGAAAGACCGCAUCUUCGUGGUCUCUUUUUGUUCAGUUACGAAAAUGGAGCAAUGGUACACACAGCUUUAUAGCAACAUUCAGAAUGAGAUUUUGGAAGUCCAGAACACCCUCCGAAAGCAGGUGGAAGACAUCAUUGAUGCGAAUUCCAGGCUGGAGAAAACCACAGAGCCCCCUGCAGGUGAGUGGCAGGGCAAUCUGAGAAGAGGCUGAUUGGAGUGAGACAUUA